AGGGAAAUGAUGUUUGGAAACUCAAGCUUAAAUGUAAAUAAUUUAUUUUUUUGUGAACUAACUUCACUGCAAUAACAUUUCAUGGAAAUUUACCAGAGUGAAGAUAUUUCACCUAAAAAUAGAGAGCAAAGAAUGAAGUACU